rnacentral:sRNA from 1 species
AUAACACCACAAUAGUACAUGUACAUAGCACUCGAUACCAUCUGUGCUUUGGAGGGUCACGUGACCAAACAAUUAUGCCCAGGGCUCAUUUGCAUAAUCUUGUCCAAACUCAGUUUCUUCCGACGAUGACAACAGUUUCUUGAUCCAUAGAGCGGUCGGCAGCGCCUGACAUCCUAGGUAAUCCUGUCUAAGUUCCUUGGCCGAGAACGGCGGGUAUACAUUACAAGGGGAGCCGAAAAUCGUCGUUCUGACCUCACCCCUCUCGCCUUCCUUUACUUCCGGUGUGGAAUGUUUUAUUGCAUUUUUGCUGUGCUGUUAG